rnacentral:lncRNA from 1 species
CUGCAGCAGUCUCCGCCGCCGCCGCCGCCGCCGCUGCCUCAGCCUCUGUAGCGAGAAGAGCGCUGGGUGGGAGAGAGAGACUGUGCGCACGCAGCUUCGGGUCCCUGUGUCUCCCAGGCGCUCUCCAGCCUCGGAGUGUCUUGACUGCGAUCCCUGCAGCCGCCGCAGCUCCCUCCGGCCUCUGUCUCCCACCUCAGCUUUGGAGUAGGGCAGCCCUGGCCGCAGCAAACCCUGUCCACCCCACCCCCUACCCCCGUGCAUAUAUGCAUGGGAAGAAAAGCGCUGGUUUUGAGGGGAUGCUCUGAUACAAUUAAAAAGCAAACGGAAAACUCUGUCCAAAUGGAGAGCAGCAAUUACUCACUGCCAGGACAUUCGGAAAUAACUUUUAAGGGGACCCUUGCUUCUUGUCAGCCAUGAAUGUUUGCUUAUGCUUGGAGUGCAAAGGCUCAAAGAGAUUCCAGUUCCAUGGUUUGCCACAACUGACUCAGAGGCAGCUGCCUGAGGAAAACACCUGGUUAAGGCUCAGAAGAAGCCUGUAAUUUGAAUAUGUUUAAUCUCCUUUCUCAGGACUGACAGUUAAAAAAUGGACACUUCAUAGAAAUCUGAAAAAUAGGCUUACUUAGAAAAAAUGUUGUGUUUAUAGUAUGUUUGGAACUGGUGUGUCCUGUUUUCUGAAAUCGUGAUCUUUUUAUUCCUGCUUUAACUUCAGGUCCUCUCCACCCUCCUCAUAGUCCACAGUGAAGUCAUAAACCUCUCCAUAGCAACUAAUUGGGAGGUUAUAAUCAGGGGAUUAUUACUUCAGGCAGGGGGGAAAUAGGAGGAAUAAAUGAGUUCUUCAAAACAAUAUCCUGUUUUCAUGCAAAAUACUAAUCUAAAAUAAAAAAUCUACAAAGAAAGAUUAAUAUGAAAAAUGGAUUUAAC